rnacentral:lncRNA from 1 species
UUGUAACACACUGGACCUUUGCAAAUUGCGAGGUUCGACUGAUUGGCUGUGUUCUGAGCUUUUCCAGAUUUUUCUGGUGGGUCGUUGACUGUGUUCCGACCUAUGGCACGUGUCCCGAGAUUUGUGGUACAAAGCCUUGCACCAAAACUCAAAAAAAGGGGAUUUGGCUGACUCUCGGAUUGAGUUCUGGCGGGCUUGUACCGGUACAAGGUUGUGCUUGUACCGGUACAAGGUUGAUGGUUGUACCGGUACAGCCAUCGGAGUUUGUACCGGUACAGAGCCGCAGAGCCCAGCAACCCGAGCCUCGCGUUUGGAUUUCGUGGACCUUGUACCGGUACAAGGCGGCAGACUUCGCACAAUUCGAAACUGCAGGGGUGUUUUUGCUUUUGUAGCACUUCUAUUAGAACCCCCACGCCCCUAGGGCAUUCCCCUGAGCUGAGAACUCUGGGAUUUGAAGUAGGGGAGUUCCUCCUUGCUCUCUUGGUGAUUUGGUCCCUCUCUUUGGAUUUUUCUUGGAUUAAUCUCUCUUUUUUCCCUUUUGGUGCUAUUUCACCAUGAUUGAAGCCAAGAGCUUGGAUUUGGGGCCUUGUUGAGNCCACUACUUGAGUGGAGCGACCACCUCAAGUAUAAAACAGACUAGUGAGUAUGAUCCAAUCCUCACAAGAGGAUACCCUAUCUACAAGGGUUAUAGUGCCUCUGCUGCACAGUUCAUAAUACACAAUUCAUUACUCGGGAAGUCUUCUAUCCCUAGAAUCAUGUCAUGUUUACUACUCUAGAUUUGAUGCCACCCGUUCAAUCAUUGUAGUACAGGUUUUCUACUAGUUGACAUGCCACUUGUUCAUUUUUAGUGUUGCUGCUACACUAACCCAAAUGUCACUCUUCUAGGCUAUUACAUGUCCAAGUUCAUUUCUUUAUGCCACUAUAGAAUUCCAUGUCACAAGACCCAAUCCUCAUGCAUCCCUAGUCCAUGUGUCAAGCUUACAAUGCUACACUACUAAGAAAGCAUGUAAGGAAUUAGAAUUGCGAUUAUCUACUAAUUCUACAAGCAUAAUGUCAAUAUAUGAAUAUGAUCAACAUAUAGAACUUAGACAUAAAAAGAAUCCCGGCUGCUUCGGGAUGGACACCACCCACCUUCUUAUGCUACCAAAAGGCUAGGGUUUCGAUUUCGUGAUUUUUAGAUGCUUUCUCGGCGUUCCAGGCGAAAACAAAGCCAAAAAUGGGUUUUUCGCCAAUAUCUCUUCGUAGCCUCGACGAAUGCUCAAACCGAGUGCACGAAUGCAUUCGGGGACCUAACAAUUAGGUUAGAGAGAGGUCAAUUGUAACACACUGGAUCUUUACAAAUUGCGAGGUUCGAGUGAUUGGCUGUGUUCUGAGCUUUUCCAGAUUUUUCUGGUGGGUCGUUGACUGUGUUCCGACUUAUGGCACGUGUCCAGAGAUUUGUGGUACAAAGCCUUGCACCAAAACUCGAAAAAAGGGGAUUUGGCUGACUCUCGGAUUGAGUUCUGGCGGGCUUGUACCGGUACAAGGUUGUGCUUGUACCGGUACAAGGUUGAUGGUUGUACCGGUACAGCCAUCGGAGCUUGUACCGGUACAGAGCCGCAGAGCCCAGCAACCCGAGCCUCGGGUUUGGAUUUCGUGGACCUUGUACCGGUACAAGGGCCCGUGUACCGGUACAAGGCGGCAGACUUCGCACAGUUCGAAACUGCAGGGGUGUUUUUGCUUUUGUAGCACUUCUAUUAGAACCCCCACGCCCCUAGGGCAUUCCCCUGAGCUGAAAACUCUGGGAUUUGAGGUAGGGGAGUUCCUCCUUGCUCUCUUGGUGAUUUGGUCCCUU